rnacentral:rRNA from 1 species
ACUCCUACGGGAGGCAGCAGUGGGGAAUAUUGCACAAUGGGCGCAAGCCUGAUGCAGCCAUGCCGCGUGUGUGAAGAAGGCCUUCGGGUUGUAAAGCACUUUCAGUCGUGAGGAAGGUAGUGUAGUUAAUAGCUGCAUUAUUUGACGUUAGCGACAGAAGAAGCACCGGCUAACUCCGUGCCAGCAGCCGCGGUAAUACGGAGGGUGCGAGCGUUAAUCGGAAUUACUGGGCGUAAAGCGCAUGCAGGCGGCCUGUUAAGUCAGAUGUGAAAGCCCGGGGCUUAACCUCGGAAUUGCAUUUGAAACUGGCAGGCUAGAGUCUUGUAGAGGGGGGUAGAAUUUCAGGUGUAGCGGUGAAAUGCGUAGAGAUCUGAAGGAAUACCAGUGCGAAGGCGGCCCCCUGGACAAAGACUGACGCUCAGAUGCGAAAAGCGUGGGGAGCAAACAGGAUUAGAUAACCCUGGUAGGAUAGCG